GUGCUCGCUUCGACAGCAUAUAUAUUAAAAUUGCAACAAUACAGAGAAGAUUAGCAUGGCCCCUGCUCAAGGAUAAGACGCAAAUUGGUGGAGUGUCCAUAUGAAAA